rnacentral:tRNA from 2 species
UGGCCGUGGCGCUGGACGGCGCCGGCUGGCACCCGGCCGCGUGGCGCGAACCCGACGCGCGAUCCGCCGAUCUCUUCGGCGCCGGCUAC